rnacentral:rRNA from 1 species
GAUGAACGCUGGCGGCGUGCUUAACACAUGCAAGUCGAACGGAAAGGCUCCUGCUUGCAGGGGCACUCGAGUGGCGAACGGGUGAGUAACACGUGGGUGAUCUGCCCUGCACUUCGGGAUAAGCCUGGGAAACUGGGUCUAAUACCGGAUAGGACCAUCGUUUAGUGUCGGUGGUGGAAAGUUUUUUCGGUGUGGGAUGAGCUCGCGGCCUAUCAGCUUGUUGGUGGGGUAAUGGCCUACCAAGGCGUCGACGGGUAGCCGGCCUGAGAGGGUGUACGGCUACAUUGGGACUGAGAUACGGCCCAGACUCCUACGGGAGGCAGCAGUGGGGAAUAUUGCACAAUGGGCGCAAGCCUGAUGCAGCGACGCCGCGUGGGGGAUGACGGCCUUCGGGUUGUAAACUCCUUUCGCCAGGGACGAAGCGAAAGUGACGGUACCUGGAUAAGAAGCACCGGCUAACUACGUG